rnacentral:rRNA from 1 species
UACGGGGGGGGCAAGCGUUGUUCGGAAUUACUGGGCGUAAAGGGCUCGUAGGCGGCCAACUAAGUCAGACGUGAAAUCCCUCGGCUUAACCGGGGAACUGCGUCUGAUACUGGAUGGCUUGAGAUUGGGAGAGGGAUGCGGAAUUCCAGGUGUAGCGGUGAAAUGCGUAGAUAUCUGGAGGAACACCUGUGGUGUAGACGGCUCUCUGGACCAUUACUGACACUGAGGUACGAAAGCGUGGGUAGCAAACAGG